GCAAAGACAAGGAAGAGGAGUAGUAGGAGUUUGGCUGUCGUUUCUCCGGAACUGACAGUUAUGCCGCUUGCAGAGAACUGCCGGGAGGUGCGAGGCAGCAGGGCAGGCUCUGAACUGACCUUGGAGUCCUUCUGCUGAAUCCGGUCGUGAUCUGGUCAGGCAGGAGCGGGAGUUCCCGUUAUAGAAUGAAUGAGUGCAUCUGCCCGGUUCGGAACAGAAGAAGAUCAAUGUUUACACAGGAUUUUUCCGCAACGCAGGAGCAGAUGAAUAAGAGUGGUACCGCGGAAAUGAAGCCUUUUCGUCUCUUGG
rnacentral:ncRNA from 1 species